CCUACGGGGUGCAGCAGUAGGGAAUCUUCCACAAUGGGCGAAAGCCUGAUGGAGCAACGCCGCGUGGGUGAAGAAGGUCUUCGGAUCGUAAAACCCUGUUGUUAGAGAAGAAAGUGCGUGAGAGUAACUGUUCACGUUUCGACGGUAUCUAACCAGAAAGCCACGGCUAACUACGUGCCAGCAGCCGCGGUAAUACGUAGGUGGCAAGCGUUAUCCGGAUUUAUUGGGCGUAAAGGGAACGCAGGCGGUCUUUUAAGUCCGAUGUGAAAGCCUUCGGCUUAACCGGAGUAGUGCAUUGGAAACUGGGAGGCUUGAGUGCAGGAGGGGAGAGUGGAACUCCAUGUGUAGCGGUGAAAUGCGUAGAGAUAUGGAAGAACACCAGUGGCGAAAGCGGCUCUCUGGUCUGUAACUGACGCUGAGGUUCGAAAGCGUGGGUAGCAAACAGGAUUAGAUACCCUUGUAGUC
rnacentral:rRNA from 1 species